rnacentral:pre_miRNA from 1 species
GGUGUGAGUCCUUCGGCUACAACACAGGACCCGGGCGCUGCUCUGACCCCUCGUGUCUUGUGUUGCAGCCGGAGGGACACA